AGUGGCGAACGGGUGCGUACCACGUGGGCAACCUGCCCCAGACUCUGGGAUAACUCCGGGAAACCGGGGCUAAUACCGGAUACUUCGACCGAACCACAUGGCUCGGUCGGGAAAGCUUUCGCGGUCUGGGAUGGGCCCGCGGCCUAUCAGCUCGUUGGUGGGGUAACGGCCUACCAAGGCUUCGACGGGUAGCUGGUCUGAGAGGGCGGCCAGCCACACUGGGACUGAGAUACGGCCCAGACUCCUACGGGAGGCAGCAGUGGGGAAUCUUGCGCAAUGGGCGAAAGCCUGACGCAGCGACACCGCGUGAGGGACGAAGGCCCUCGGGUUGUAAACCUCUUUCGGCAGGGACGAAGCGAUCGUGACGGUACCUGCAGAAGAAGCUCCGGCUAACUACGUGCCAGCAGCCGCGGUAAGACGUAGGGAGCGAGCGUUGUCCGGAUUCAUUGGGCGUAAAGAGCGCGCAGGCGGUUUGGUAAGUCGGAUGUGAAAGCCCGGGGCUCAACCCCGGACCUGCAUCCGAUACUGCCCGACUAGAGGUAGGUAGGGGAGAUCGGAAUUCCUGGUGUAGCGGUGAAAUGCGCAGAUAUCAGGAGGAACACCGGUGGCGAAGGCGGAUCUCUGGGCCUUACCUGACGCUCAGGCGCGAAAGCUAGGGGAGCGAACAGGAUUAGAUACCCUGGUAGUCCUAGCCGUAAACGUUGGGUGCUAGGUGUGGGGGG
rnacentral:rRNA from 1 species